rnacentral:rRNA from 1 species
AUUGAACGCUGGCGGCAGGCUUAACACAUGCAAGUCGAGCGAGCGGCGGACGGGUGAGGAAUGUCUGGGAAACUGCCUGAUGGAGGGGGAUAACUAAUGGAAACGGUAGCUAAUACAGCAUACCAUCAGAUGGGCCCAGAUGGGAUUCGCUAGUAGGUGGGGUAAUGGCUCACCUAGGCGACGAUCCCUAGCUGGUCUGAGAGGAUGACCAGCCACACUGGGACUGAGACACGGUCCAGACUCCUACGGGAGGCAGCAGUGGGGAAUAUUGCACAAUGGGCGCAAGCCUGAUGCAGCCAUGCCGCGUGUGUGAAGAAGGCCUUCGGGUUGUAAAGCACUUGCAGCGGGGAGGCGUUACCCGCAGAAGAAGCACCGGCUAACUCCGUGCCAGCAGCCGCGGUAAUAC